UCUAAGCAUUCAAGUGAAAGGAAGAGUUGCAUGUCUCUCACUUUAUAUCAAAAGCUGGAAAUGAUUAAGUUUAGUGAGUAAGGCAUAUGGAAAGCUAACACA